GUGGUUUUGAUGGAUUUUAGUGUUGUGCUGUAAUUAUUAUAUUUCAUUUUCAUUUUUCAUUUUUUGGUAUUAUGGCUAUUUUUAUUUGUUUGAGUCAUUUGUCCCCAAGAAAACCUCGGUCAUGGUGUGACUCAGAAAUGCAACCAAAUAAAUAUCUCGCCUAAUGUUAUUAAUUCUGUUAAGGAGUAUUUCACAUGAUCUUGUAGAAUAGUAGCAAUGGUUUUAAACUAAAAUGUAGUUUAUCACUGAGUGUUUCCACUGCCAGAAGGUGCUCACAUAUUUUCUGAGCUAAUGGUACUGUACUAUCAUACAAAACAAAUUACCACUGAAUUGAUGCUACCUUUGUAUUUAACUUCUGUAAAGGGAGCAUAUCCACGAUCAAUGGCUCUGAUUAUCACCAGCAAUAUAACAGUGGCAUGUCAGGCGAAGGCUGAUUGGCUCCUCUGCAAGUAUAUCUACAACUAAUGGAGAAUGUGUCAUUCUCGAUUGUUGACUUGCCAUUUUAUGUAUGAGAUCAAGCAGUAGAUCCUGCUCAUAUACAGUAGUGUCAAAAAUUACUGCAUUUUAGCUCCUUAAGAUGCUAGAAUGUUUUAUGGCAGCACUGGGCAAACUUAAGGUUCACAGGAUCUACUUUGUUUUUAAGUGGAACCCUGCGAUUCACUAAUUGGAGCCAGGUGCAAAAGACAUAUUCUUAGAAUUAAAGAAUUAUGAGCACCUAGGAAUUUAUUUUGAGUGCCAGAACUGAAUGGAGCUUCAUAAAUCCACUCCUGGCCCAUUCACCUCACCCUCCAAAAAGUUUUUAUUAAAUUCAGCAAUGUAAUGGGGGGGGGGGCAUUAUUGUUGCCAUUGUUGAGAGUCAGAAAUCCUUACUGGUUUGCUGCAAGUUGCCCAGAGAUCUACCAGGAGAGUGCAAGUUACCUUAUUAAGCAGGGUAAGAAGGGGGAAGCCAUCUUACUUGUUUGUCCUUGGCAUGCUCCAAUGAGAGCUUUGCAUACUUCUGUUUUAGUGCCUUAGUACACAACCAGGAAGUUUUGGGACUUGGCACUAUGCUUGCAAAUGCUAUCUUCUAUGAGAUUUUGUGAAGUUCAAAUGAAGUUCUACCUUCAACAGGAAGUGGACUUCAAAUGAGGCCCUUCAACCAUGCCAGCUCCACCAUAAUCCUAGUAUGGGGAGCUGUGUGGCUUAUGAGCCUUGAGUGCAAUGGAUGAACCUGCCCAAGACGCUAGGUCACCUAACUGCAGGUCAAUAUUUUUAUGGUUAACAAAAUUCGUCUUGAUUUUUAAACUAUUUUUUCCCCUCCUACUGUUUUAGCCUUCUGAAGACACCCUUUCUCUCUCACACACUGGCACACUAUGAUUACAAAUAACCCAGCUAUCAUUUUAUCACGGCCAGGGUAUAUUUGAAGGCUGUUUUUCAGUCCCCUCCUCAGCUUUCUGUUUUCUAAAUAGUUUCAGUUUAUUUGUUCCUUCCUCAGUUGCUCCCUUAUUCUCACUUAGAAUCAUCUUUGUACAUUCUAAAUCCUUUAAUCUCGCUAUUGCUGUACUCUGAGCAGUCUGGGUAAAUUUGUGGGUUGUGUCUUUGGAGACCUAGGGCUGACGAAUGAGGGUCUGUUUAUUAAUUUAUCUGCAGAGGUUGCCUCUUUCCCCAUCUGAUUCAGGUGUAAUAUGCAUGUCUUCAUGCAUACAUUGCUCUUCCUGCUCUAAGAAAGGUUUAGCUUUAUUGUAGGAUCAUAUACUGCUUAUAUGGAUUUCCUUCUUUAUACAGACUUCGGAAAGGGGGCAGAAAGAAAGAGAGAGAGAGAGACUUCAUUUUAUCCUUUUCAUCAUGUUGCACAACAAAAAAGAGAGCUAGAAAGAAUUCCGACUAGGCAGAGAUGGGCUGCAACAUUAUUGGCUGAUGGGAUAUGUGAAUAUGCUGAGUCUGGCACUAUCAUUACACCCCUUGGCGACACUGUAAUCCAUUCCAUAUACGUAGCUCUGACAGAUUUUAAUGAAGAUUCUUUGGGAUCAUGCGUGUGUAUCUGUAAUGCUGUUUUACCUCCUGUGUGUAUUGCACAGGCACUGAAUCUUAAUAAGAGUUUAAUUUCUGGAAUAUACUGAGCAUGCGUGAAGAUCAACCUGAGUGGGAAAAGAAGUAUCUGUUCACUAUGCGGUUGGCAGUGUACACAUUCAUAUCUGAGCCAUUUCUCAUUGUGGUGGUGGGAAAUAUUUCUGGUCUAAAUAAGUGUGGGAACUGUGGAAGGUUGACCAAGUCACUUUUAAUAUUUUAGGCAUUUAAUGUUUAACAGUUUAACAUUCCAAAAGUGAGCAAGUAAGCAGCAAUGGUGGCAAGGAUUUGCAAGUAAUUCGCUCUUUCCUUUCCUGUACCAAUUUGCUAGCUAGACACAGUACAAUCCUAUGCAUGUUUGUUGCCUAAGAAGAAAAUCCCAUUGUGAGUUCAAUAGGGCUUACUCCUAAGUAAGUAUAGAUAGGAUUGCAUCUGUAGAGGCCAGCUGCCAUCCUUAUCCUCAUCUAAGGAGUACAUACAUACAUACAUACAUUUUAUUUGUAUGCCACCUUUCCAUAGUUAAAAGCAUGUUCAAGGUAGCUUACAACAUGAAAAAAUAUAUAAUUACAAUUAUAACAAAACUAGUCAUAAAUAAUAAAUAAAACACAUCAAAAAGUGCACAAGCAAAUCAAACAAUUGCCACAUAAAUCAUAAGACGAUUUAUAAAUAAAGAUACAAAAACAACAAUAACAACACCCUGCAGAACAAUACCCCAAUGCAAGAGUCUGUUCAGCAGCCUCAGCUUUUGUAGCUGGAGUCCGUCCAGGGAGCAGGUCUUCUGGGACUCACAGCCAAGAUGAUCUCUGGCCUCUUCAGCAGCUUCAGCUUAUCCAAACCAACAGCUGAACCUUCAAAGCCUGCUCUUUAACCACAUGCUAAUUUUAUCUGAUACCUCUGCGGUGGGGGGUGGGGUAUAAUGUUUGAUUAACCAGUAGAGGGCAAGGAGUCAAUUCGCUAUCCAAUUUAUUAUGGGGCAUCCAUUAAGUGCUGUGAGAUCCUUAUCUGGAAAUAGCUACAGUUGCUGAAAGGGAAAAGUUCUUCUGUGAAGGGGAAUGGGGUUGAAUUCUCUGGUAGUACACCAUAGUGGCCAUAGUGUUUAUGCGCCCAUUCCUGUUCUGAUUCCAAGAAGCUCCUUCUUUCUUUUCUUGGUUGCCUCAUUGUUUCCCAAGAAAUUUGAAUCUUGACCGAAUUUAACUGAGUGCUUUCAACAAGGCGACCCUCUGGGAAAAGCAGAAGCAGUGAGCGUUGAGAGGCAAGUGCGGUGCUAGGGAGCAGGAGCAUGAAAAUACCCUCCAUUUGCUUCUUUCACAGGAGCAGCUAUAAGAGGCUGCUGUAUGGCCCAGUUAUUGUCUAAUUAUAUACCACUAAGGGACAUGAGAAGAAUGCUGUGUGCUGGCCUUGCUGGUCUUGGCUCUUUGUUGCCAUUCCCAGCCCAGUAUGGCUGACUUCAGAGACUUCAAAGCCCCCAGUGCAAAGAGUCUCCAAGCAGAGAGCAACGGGUUUGUGUUUCUGACUCAUCCUGGGCUCCAUCCUUCCCCCCUCCUCUGUCCAUCCUGCUGUCUGCCAAGCUCACAAGAACAUUGAUGAGAGGCUCCGCGGUGACCCCUGGCAUCGAGCAGCACUUUGAAAAUCCUUUUGUGGUUUUCUUAAGUGAAAACUAAAAGGCACCACAAAGUAAUGAAGGCUCUGCAUGUAUAUGUCUGUGUUCCUGGAGAGGGGAGUGGCAGUGUGGCCUGGAAAGCAUGAUGCCAAGGCCUCUCCUGAUGGCCAAUGUGGGCAAGAUACAAGGUGUUCUAAUGAACACACUCUCUCUCUGCCCUGAAGCAAUGGGGAAGCCCGCAGCUAAUGCAGCUGCCUUGCCGUUCUCCCAUCACCUCUCUGCCUUGUGCAGCACAGAGGGAUUAGGCAGAGGGCCAGUCAAGAGACAGAAAGAGCUCACAGACAAGAUCCAUUGGAAUGCUAGCUUGAAAUGCAUUGCCCACUUAUUAGCCUCACGGGAGGGGAAAUGGGGUGUGUGUGUGUGUGUGUGUGUGUGUGUGUUUGUAUUUUUCACACACCCUUUGAGAAUUACAGCCUUGGCAGAUUUCACAGCAUCAGGGAGAGGAAAAAAAAUCUGAGAAUGUCAAUUCACAGAGAGCUAAAUCACGACUCUUAACUGUGCAAAAGGAACAAUCUUCUUCAUAGGGACAUAGCCUAGUAUUUGAACCUCUGGGAGCUUGGGUUGCUGGAAGAACCCUGAAACAAGAACAGUGAUAGCAUCACAAAUGUACUGAAUGAUUUACAAAUUUAUGUAGCUUAUCCUUAAAGUAACUCUGUGAGUUGCUCUCUGGUAUUUCCAUUUUAUGGGUGGGGAACUGAGGCUGGAAGGCUGGAUCCAAAACCACUAUCUAAGAAGGCAUUUUCACCUAGCUUUUCAUAGGCAUCAGUACGUAGCUCACCAACCUGUCACUUUUUAUCCUUUCAUGUUAUAUUGUAAUGCACUCAGACAUAGGUGGGCACUAAGGCACAGGUGACUUUACGUGGCUUCCAAACCCCCAUUUUUCCAUCCUGCCAUAAGUUCCUUAAUAAUAAUAAUAAUAAUAAUAAAUUUUAUUUAUAUCCCGCCCUCCCCAGCCGAAGCCGGGCUCAGGGCGGCUAACAACAAUAAAACAGUACAAAAGUACAGCAUAAACAACACUCUAAAAUCAUUCAUUAUAAAAUUAAUUAAUUCAGGCCACUGGCAACCAUUGGGCCAGAGCUCCGCGAAGAUUGCCGAGGGAGGGAGUCAGGCUGUGCCCUGGCCAAAGUCCUGGUGGAACAGCUCUGUCUUGCAGGCCCUGCAGAAAGAUGUCAAGUCCCGCAGGGCCCUGGUCUCUUGUGACAGAGUGUUCCACCAGAUCGGAGCCACAGCGGAAAAAGCCCUGGCUGUGGUUGAGGCCAGCCUAACUUCUCUGUGGCCUGGGACCUUCAAGAUGUUUUUAUUUGAAGACCGUAAGUUCCUUCCACCUUACUCAUUUGCUUCUUAUUUUUCCUGGCUCUUAAAAAGGGUUUCUCCUUAUUCUUUUUAGUUUCAGAACAAUUGGAAGGGCCAGUAUUUUAUUUGAUAAAAAUUCUGACAUUAGUUUUCAUAAUUCUGCGGGUUUGGGCAUUGCAUUUUGGGUAAAUUAAAAUGGUGGGUGGCCACUGUGGGUGGAAGCUAAACUUGUCUCCCAGUCAGAAGUGGCACUGUAGCCAAACCAGUGCUAAAAUGGCUGCCUAUGGGCCUGGUCAGGAUGUCAGUAAGGUGGCACAUCUGAGUUGGACCAGUGAAGGGCCCAUCUAGGCUGCUGGGGCCUUUGGUCAGUGCCCAUGCUGGCCAACCUUUGAGGCUGGGUCUGCACUCCACCCAUCAAUGUAUCUGUUUCCCUCUGCAAAUGGCCCCUGACAGGAUUACUGCUUCAAGGAAUGCAGCCCUUGACAGAAAAAAAAAUGUUGCCCAUUCUUUGCACUAUGGGAUUUUGUGAAGAUAAUAGUGUUGGCUGUGAUGAAGCCUCUGGCAGUGAUUGGUUCAGUCACCUGCCUGUCACACAAAGAAGCUGGUCCAUCUGAAGGACUUCUGGCAGUGAUUAGCUCACUCACUUGCCUGUCACACAGAGGCUGGGCAGUUCCUGACAGGCACUUGACAGUGAUGAGCAGAAGCUCACAUAUUGAUUUGAGAUGUAAUGAAAUAUUUGGCUGCAACCCUCCAGUCUCACAUAUGCUUCAAACUUCCCCCACCCUUGCUUUCUCUCUCUCCCCCUCCCCACCCCCCUGAUUUCAGGUCUGAUUAUAUUGUCAUUCUUUCACCUUGGCAAUAUAUGUUCUUUAUUUCCGCCAAUUGACAUGCUUUUAUGUAAUACGCCAUCACUUGUAAUAAUUUCAAGUAUCCCAUCUGUGAUCCUUAAAGAAGUUAAGUUUUUCUAGACUUUUUAUUUUCAGUAUGAUGGAAAAAAAACAUGAAAAGGCUGGAAGGAAGUAAAGAAACAACAGCAGCUGAAAUUCAUAAGCUAUUUCAACUCUCAUUAUUUUAAAAAUCAUUCUAGCAAGGGAUGACUCAGAUUUUCCUUGUUUGAGGGUAACCGAUCCAGAAUAAGGACACUGAACAAUAAGAGUUUGCUUCUUUAAAGUUUAGGGUUUAUAGUCCAUUCAGAGCUGUUUAGAAUAGGCUGGAGAAUGAAGUGCAGGUAAUGAUAAUACGGUUUCUACUUUCUUUACUCAUUUGCAUGUGUUAAUUAAUUUGUUUUACACAAACUUUAAAUUUGCCACAAACUUU
rnacentral:lncRNA from 1 species